CACUGCCGAGAAAAGCCUCUAGAUAGAAAAUAGGUGCCCGUACCGCAAACCGACACAGGUAGUCAAGAUGAGAAUUCUAAGGUGAGCGAGCGAACUCUCGUUAAGGAACUCGGCAAAAUGACCCCGUAACUUCGGGAGAAGGGGUGCUCUUUAGGGUUAACGCCCAGAAGAGCCGCAGUGAAUAGGCCCAAGCGACUGUUUAUCAAAAACACAGGUCUCUGCUAAACCGUAAGGUGAUGUAUAGGGGCUGACGCCUGCCCGGUGCUGGAAGGUUAAGAGGAGUGGUUAGCUUCUGCGAAGCUACGAAUCGAAGCCCCAGUAAACGGCGGCCGUAACUAUAACGGUCCUAAGGUAGCGAAAUUCCUUGUCGGGUAAGUUCCGACCCGCACGAAAGGCGUAACGAUUUGGGCACUGUCUCAACGAGAGACUCGGUGAAAUCAUAGUACCUGUGAAGAUGCAGGUUACCCGCGACAGGACGGAA
rnacentral:rRNA from 1 species